GGAUGUGAGGGCGUCUGGUUGCGACAUCUGUCACCCCAUUGAUCGCCAGGGUUGAUUCGGCUGAUCUGGCUGGCUAGGCGGGUGUCCCCUUCCUCCCUCACCGCUCCAUGUGCGUCCCUCCCGAAGCUGCGCGCUCGGUCGAAGAGGACGACCAUCCCCGCUAGAGGAGGACCGGUCUUCGGUCAAGGGUAUACGAGUAGCUGCGCUCCCCUGCUAGAACCUCCAAACAAGCUCUCAAGGUCCAUUUGUAGGAGAACGUAGGGUAGUCAAGCUUCCAAGACUCCAGACACAUCCAAAUGAGGCGCUGCACGUGGCAGUCUGCCUUUCUUU
rnacentral:snRNA from 1 species